rnacentral:rRNA from 1 species
AACGAACGCUGGCGGCGUGCCUAACACAUGCAAGUCGAGCGGUAAGGCCCUUUCGGGGGUACACGAGCGGCGAACGGGUGAGUAACACGUGGGUGACCUGCCCUCAGCUCUGGGAUAAGCCUGGGAAACCGGGUCUAAUACCGGAUAUGACUCCAUGACGCAUGUUGUGGGGUGGAAAGCCUUGUGCGGCUGAGGAUGGGCCCGCGGCCUAUCAGCUUGUUGGUGGGGUGAUGGCCUACCAAGGCGACGACGGGUAGCCGGCCUGAGAGGGCGACCGGCCACACUGGGACUGAGACACGGCCCAGACUCCUACGGGAGGCAGCAGUGGGGAAUCUUGCGCAAUGGGCGAAAGCCUGACGCAGCGACGCCGCGUGAGGGAUGACGGCCUGG